GGCAAGGCUGGUAAAGGACAAAAAUAUAGAUUGGAGAGGGAAGAGAAGGAUUGCAUAAUGCUCUAUGUGCUUAUGAACAUGAAGGAAGUGGUGGGGGGGGACGACGACGAUGGCGGUCACGAUUUCAUUAGCGAAUUCACGGAUGAACAGUGGUGGCUUCCGCGCGAUCCCACGGGCGCGGAGUUGGAGACUCUACUGAAAGAGGGUGCUCCCGAAGUAAAAAUAAACUUUGUGUCUUGGUUCAUGAAAAAAGGAGCUGAUGCAAACGUUGAGAUGACAGAUGAGUUGAGAUGUGUUUCCCAAGGUUGUAACCGUGACGUCAUGAAGUAUGAGAAGUAUGACGUGAAUGGGUUUCGAUUCCAUACAGAGACACACCAGAAGGGCCGGGCGAAUCCAAAAACGAUAAAUACUGGUGUCUUCAC